GACGAACGCUGGCGGCGUGCUUAACACAUGCAAGUCGAACGGAAAGGCCCUGCUUUUGUGGGGUGCUCGAGUGGCGAACGGGUGAGUAACACGUGAGUAACCUGCCCUUGACUUUGGGAUAACUUCAGGAAACUGGGGCUAAUACCGGAUAGGAGCUCCUGCUGCAUGGUGGGGGUUGGAAAGUUUCGGCGGUUGGGGAUGGACUCGCGGCUUAUCAGCUUGUUGGUGGGGUAGUGGCUUACCAAGGCUUUGACGGGUGGCCGGCCUGAGAGGGUGACCGGCCACAUUGGGACUGAGAUACGGACCAGACUCCUACGGGAGGCAGCAGUGGGGAAUAUUGCACAAUGGGCGGAAGCCUGAUGCAGCAACGCCGCGUGCGGGAUGACGGCCUUCGGGUUGUAAACCGCUUUCGCCUGUGACGAAGCGUGAGUGACGGUACUGGGUAAAGAAGCACCGGCUAACUACGUG
rnacentral:rRNA from 1 species